CGCUGGCUGCUGGCGCGCUGAAGGUGAAGCAGCGGGCACUGACGCCGCAUUUGGCGACCGCUGUGUCGGACAGACUGCCUCGCACCUGCAGCGCUCGUGCUAAGUCAGUGCUAAUCGGUGCCUUGGAAAUAACAUCACUGAUGUUUCCGUGGGAGCAGUAGGGACCGUCGGGCGGCCUGGCUGAAUAUAUUGAAAAUCUAGAAGUCAGAGCGCCUUAACAACCGCGUUUGGACUCAAGUGGCUGAAAGGCCGCCGGUGAUACUCGACGGCCCGGCAACCGCUUUGAGAAUACGUCGCGCUAACCUAAUCUAACCUAGCGUUAACCUAAGCAAACGUGGCCGAUACGAAAAGACAGUAAUCAACAUGGCAUAACCGUUGCGAGAAUACGCCGUGCCACCCUAACGCCUUUUGCGCUAACGUAACCUAACCUAAGGUAACCUAACCUAACGUGGGCGAGACGCAAAGCCAAUAAUCCUCACGGCGUGACAUCAGGCACUCAUGGUGUUCAACUGCGUUUGCUAGGUACUGUGCGUUUGUUUCACUCAAAGGAGACCUCUCAAAAAUGCUGAAAAGUCGCGGACAGCAGCAUACGAGAAGCCUACCAAGAGCGAAGAUACUGCACCAGGAAAGCAGGCCGGGCGCCUACUACGGUCCUACUGCACCCCCGAAAAAAAUAUGUGUAUUUUUUUUUUAAGGUAGAACACCAUAAAUGGCAAGAAAGGCUUAAUUCGGCAUGACUGACUCAGCACCAGCGCCCCAGGUGCGAGAAACUCUAUCCGACGUAGCUACGAACCAACCGAAGGGAGUGUAUUCGAAGACGACGCGCUGGCUGUAAUCCUGAACGAGACUGAACUAGGCCUAUUUUGUGUCCUUUUGUUCUUGCGUGUGCGCGCGUGUGUGUCAGUGACUAUGCAGUUUGUAGCGUUCCCACUUUAUAGCAAAACAAAAAUAUAACUGCAAUGUUUACUUCAUCUAUACAAUUCCAAAUUAAAUCGUCUGCCGAUGUACAAAUUUCACUUGUGUUUUGUUCUAAAUAAGCAGCAAAACCUUUAACCUAGUAGGUGCUUCAUCUGGGAGUGAAAUCACGACAGCUUGGCAUUUGUUAAUGAAUGACUGUGACUGGGUCACCUUAUUUGUAAUUGUAAAUCAGCCUUUCAACUGACUUGAUGCACUCUUAUUUUGUUCCUUUCACUCUAUAGACGGCUGGACAUCCUUCUUGUACCUUGGCGCUAGCUGGAUGACGGGACCUCAUCGUGAUCAGUGUAUUGCUUGCCUGUGUCUACAAGAACCGUCACGUGUGGCCUGUGACAGCAAGCUUUUGUGGGCAGCAAGUGCUCUCCUACGACGGCUGGCCUGCUCCGGCAGCGGCAGCAAUCUUCAAGAUUUAUCCAUGAUCACCUUUGCUGCUAUUUGUCACUCUUGUUAAUUACACUUUCUGCAUCUUUUCUCAUUUAUUAGGUAAUAAAGUAUGAGUAUGUGA